rnacentral:rRNA from 1 species
UACGGAGGAUGCAAGCGUUAUCCGGAAUGAUUGGGCGUAAGCGUCCGCAGGUGGCUAUGUAAGUCUGCUGUUAAAGAGUGAGGCUCAACCUCAUAAGAGCAGUGGAAACUACAUAGCUAGAGUGCGUUCGGGGCAGAGGGAAUUCCUGGUGUAGCGGUGAAAUGCGUAGAUAUCAGGAAGAACACCGGUGGCGAAAGCGCUCUGCUAGGCCGCAACUGACACUGAGGGACGAAAGCUAGGGGAGCGAAUGGG